rnacentral:rRNA from 1 species
CUAAACUUCCCAUAGCAAACUGCUUAGUAACACAUGAUCAACUUGCCCUAUUGAGAAAAAUAACCUCGGGAAACUGAGGAUAAUGUUUCAUAGUUGAAUAGGCUUGGAAAAGUUUUUCAAUGAAAGGAAUAAGAUAAAUGGUUCUUAUUUGCCAUAGGAUAGGAUCGUGGUCGAUUAUGGUAGUUGGUGAGAUAACGGCUCACCAAGCCGAUAAUCGAUAGGGGCCGUGAGAGCGGGAGCCCCAAGAUGGGUACUGAGACAGCGACCCAGGCCUUACGAGGCGCAGCAGGCGCGAGACCUCCGCAAUACACGAAAGUGUGACGGGGUUACCCAAAGUGUUCUCUUAAGAACUGUGGUAGGUGAGUAAUGUCCCCUACUAGAAAGGAGAGGGCAAGGCUGGUGCCAGCCGCCGCGGUAAAACCAGCUCUUCAAGUGGUCGGGAUAAUUAUUGGGCUUAAAGUGUCCGUAGCCGGUUUAGUAAGUUCCUGGUAAAAUCGGGUAGCUUAACUAUCUGUAUGCUAGGAAUACUGCUAUACUAGAGGGCGGGAGAGGUCUGAGGUACUACAGGGGUAGGGGUGAAAUCUUAUAAUCCUUGUAGGACCACCAGUGGCGAAGGCGUCAGACUGGAACGCGCCUGACGGUGAGGGACGAAAGCCAGGGGAGCGAACCGGAUUAGAUACCCGGGUAGUCCUGGCCGUAAACGAUGCAUACUAGGUGAUGGUACGGCCAUGAGCCGUAUCAGU